GGCCAGGUAGCUUAAUGGUUAAAGCAUAAGAAUGUUGCAUCCUUAGCUUAAUAGCUAACGCUCAAGAAUGUUGCACUGAUGAUGUUGGUUCAAGACCGACCCUGGUCC